rnacentral:rRNA from 1 species
UACGAAGGGGGCAAGCGUUGUUCGGAUUUACUGGGCGUAAAGGGCGCGUAGGCGGAACGACAAGUCAGAGGUGAAAGCCCUGGGCUCAACCCGGGAAUUGCCUUUGGGACUGCCGUUCUAGAGUUCGGAAGAGGAUGGCGGAAUACCCAGUGUAGAGGUGAAAUUCGUAGAUAUUGGGUAGAACGCCGGUGGCGAAGGCGGCCAUCUGGUCCGACACUGACGCUGAGGCGAGAAAGCGUGGGGAGCAAACAGG